AGAGCGAACGCUGGCGGCGUGCUUAACACAUGCAAGUCGAGUGCGCGUCCGUAGCAAUACGGAUGGCGCACGGCGCACGGGUGCGUAACACGUGGGCAAUCUGCCCUCGGAUGGGGGAUAACUCGUCGAAAGGGCGAGCUAAUACCGCAUGACAUUCCCGGGACUCCGGUCCUGGGACUCAAAGGCCGCAAGGCCGUCUGAGGAGGAGCCCGCGCCCGAUUAGCUAGUUGGUGAGGUAACGGCUCACCAAGGCUUUGAUCGGUA
rnacentral:rRNA from 1 species